AAGAGCCAGUUAAUGGGGAGUUCAUAUAGAAUAAUAAUUUAGAUUAAAAAUGUAUAAAUAUGCUUAAUUUACUUUUAAGAAAUUCAUGAUGAGUAUAUUUUCUAGAAUGUAUAACUUAGUUAAUAUAAAAAGAUGCUUUUAUUGUGAAAAGUAAUUUUGGCUUCUACUACGUAAUUAAUAUUGCCCGUUUGAGUUCAGAUUGCAGUUGGAUACGGUGGAAGCAGCACAAUUUUUUGACCGAUCUGUACCGAGCCUUUCAUUUUUUCUAUUGCAGUUGGAUACGGUGGAAGCAGCACAAUUUUUUGACCGAUCUGUACCGAGCCUUUCAUUUUUUCUGUAAGUGUACUUUUUUGAGUUCUUUAAGUAAACCUCAUAAAGAAGA